AACGAACGCUGGCGGCAUGCCUAACACAUGCAAGUCGAACGAAGUCUUCGGACUUAGUGGCGCACGGGUGCGUAACGCGUGGGAAUCUGCCCUUGGGUGCGGAAUAACUUCUCGAAAGGGAUGCUAAUACCGCAUAAUGUCGUAAGACCAAAGAUUUAUCGCCCAAGGAUGAGCCCGCGUAAGAUUAGCUAGUUGGUGGGGUAAAAGCCUACCAAGGCGACGAUCUUUAGCUGGUCUGAGAGGAUGAUCAGCCACACUGGGACUGAGACACGGCCCAGACUCCUACGGGAGGCAACAGUGGGGAAUAUUGGACAAUGGGCGAAAGCCUGAUCCAGCAAUGCCGCGUGAGUGAUGAAGGCCCUAGGGUUGUAAAGCUCUUUACCAGGGAUGAUAAUGACAGUACCUGGAGAAUAAGCUCCGGCUAACUCCGUGCCAGCAGCCGCGGUAAU
rnacentral:rRNA from 1 species